GUGGUUGUAGCUCAGUUGGCCAGAGCAUCGGAUUGUGGUUCCGAGGGUCGCCGGUUCGAGCCCGGUCAGCCACCCCA
rnacentral:tRNA from 1 species